rnacentral:rRNA from 1 species
GGGUCAGUAGGUUGGUCGUGCCACCGGUACGUACUGGUCUCGCUGAUUCCUCCUUCCUGAAGAACCGUAAUGCCAUUAAUUUGGUGUUGCGGGGAAACAGGACUGUUACUUUGAAAAGAUUAGAGUGUUUAAAGCAAGCUAACGCUUGAAUACAUUAGCAUGGAAUAAUGAAAUAGGACGAUCGAUCCUAUUUUGUUGGUUUCUAGGAUUGACGUA